GUCUACAGCUGUGACACCCUGAAUGUGCCCGAUCCCAUCUGGUCUUGGAAGCUAAGCAGGGUCGGGCCUGGUUAGUACUUGGAUGAGAGACCACUUAGGAUGACCAGGUGCUGUAUGUG
rnacentral:rRNA from 1 species